rnacentral:rRNA from 1 species
CCUACGGGCGGCAGCAGUGAGGAAUAUUGGUCAAUGGGCGCGAGCCUGAACCAGCCAAGUCGCGUGAGGGAAGACGGUCCUAUGGAUUGUAAACCUCUUUUGUCGGGGAGCAAAAGACGCCACGCGUGGCGUUCCGAGAGUACCCGAAGAAAAAGCAUCGGCUAACUCCGUGCCAGCAGCCGCGGUAAUACGGAGUAUGCGAGCGUUAUCCGGAUUUAUUGGGUUAAAAGGGUGCGCAGGCGGAAGAUCAAGUCAGCGGUAAAAUUGAGAGGCUCAACCUCUUCGAGCAGUUGAAACUGGUUGUCUUGAGUGAGUGAGAGGUAUGCGGAAUGCGUGGUGUAGCGGUGAAAUGCAUAGAUAUCACGCAGAACUCCGAUUGCGAAGGCAGCAUACCGGCGCUCAACUGACGCUCAUGCACGAAAGUGUGGGGAUCGAACAGGAUUAGAUACCCGAGUAGUC